GGAUGUUAGGGUGAUCUGGCUGGAACAUUUGUCACCCCAUUGAUUGCCAGGGUGUUGACUGGCUGAUCUGGACAGCCAGGCAGGUGUCCCCUUCCUCCUUCACUACUCCAUGUGUGUCCUCUCCCGAAGCUGUAAGCUCAAAGAGGAUGACCACCCCCAAGAGUGGAGGACUGUUUCCUUCAUUAAGGGUGUACAAGUAGCUGCGCUCCCUAGCUAGAACCUCCAAACAAGCUCUCAAGAGGGAUAAUCCAGUUUAGAAACUAGGUAAUGAACCCAAACAGACAUUUACCUAAGGAAGGU
rfam:Heterocephalus glaber contig78644, whole genome shotgun sequence.